rnacentral:rRNA from 1 species
CCCCUAGAUGUUCUGGGCCGCACGCGCGCUACACUGAACAGUUCAACAAGUCUUAACCUUGGCCGAUAGGUCUGGGUAAUCUUUGAACGCUGUUCGUGAUUGGGAUAGACCUUUGCAAUUAUGGGUCUUCAACGAGGAAUUCCUAGUAAACGCAAGUCAUCAGCUUGCAUUGAUUACGUCCCUGCCCUUUGUACACACCGCCCGUCGCACCUACCGAUUGAAUGGUCCGGUGAAAUCUCGGGACGGCGGCUUGGUUGCUUGCGUCCGACUGCUGAAACUUGAUUAAACCAUAUCAUUUAGAGGAAGGUGAAGUCGUAACA